UCGUCAUUGCUGCGGUUAAAAAGCUCGUAGUUGGAUCUGAGUCACAUGCAGUGGUUCGCCUUUGGCGUUAAUCGCUGUUGUGACUAUUUGCUGGUUUUCUACUUAGGUUUCGGCCUUUGUAGUGGCUAGCGAGUUUACUUUGAAUAAAUUAGAGUGCUCAGAACAGGCGUUUGCCUGAAUGCUCGAUCAUGGAAUAAUAAAAGAGGACUUCGGUUCUAUUUAUUGGUUCAGGAACUGAAAUAAUGGUUAAGAGGGACAAUUCGGGGGCAUUCGUAUCCCUGCGCGAGAGGUGAAAUUCGUGGACCGCAGGGGGACGCCCUAAAGCGAAAGCAUUUGCCAAGAAUGUCUUCAUUAAUCAAGAACGAAAGUCAGAGGUUCGAAGGCGAUUAGAUACCGCCCUAGUUCUGACCGUAAACUAUGCCAUCUAGCGAUCCGAUGGGGUAUAGUUGCCUUGUCGAGGAGCUUCCCGGAAACGAAAGUCUUUCGGUUCCUGGGGUAGUAUGGUUGCAAAGCUGAAACUUAAAGAAAUUGACGGAAUGGCACCACCAGGAGUGGAGCCUGCGGCUUAAUUUGACUCAACACGGGAAAACUCACCCGGCCCGGACACCGUAAGGAUUGACAGAUUGAAAGCUCUUUCUCGAUUUGGUGGUUGGUGGUGCAUGGCCGUUCUUAGUUGGUGGAGCGAUUUGUCUGGUUUAUUCCGAUAACGAGCGAGACUCUAGCCUGCUAAAUAGUGGCUGGAUUUUUAAGUCCAGUCUACUUCUUAGAGGGAUAAGCGGUGUUUAGCCGCACGAGAUUGAGCGAUAACAGGUCUGUGAUGCCCUUAGAUGUCCGGGGCUGCACGCGCGCUACAAUGGAAGAAUCAGCUGGCCUAUCCAUUGCCGAAAGGCAUUGGUAAACCGUUGAAACUCUUCCGUGACCGGGAUAGGGAAUUGUAAUUAUUUCCCUUGAACGAGGAAUUCCUAGUAAGUGUGAGUCAUCAGCUCACGCUGAUUACGUCCCUGCCAUUUGUACACACCGCCCGUCGCUGUCCGGGACUGAGCUGUCUCGAGAGGACUGCGGACUGCUGUAUCGAGGCCCUUCGGGUCGC
rnacentral:rRNA from 1 species